rnacentral:rRNA from 1 species
AACGUAGGACGCAAGCGUUAUCCGGAGUUAUUGGGCGUAAAGCGCACGUAGGCGGCUUGGCAAGUCGGAUGUGAAAUCCCUCGGCUCAACCAAGGAAGUGCAUCCGAAACUGCUGAGCUUGAGUACUUAAGAGGAUCGCGGAAUUCCCGGUGUAGAGGUGAAAUGCGUAGAUAUCUGGAGGAACACCGGUGGCGAAGGCGGCAUCCUGGACCGACACUGACGCUGAGGAGCGAAAGCCAGGGGAGCAAACGGG